UACAGAGGGGGCAAGCGUUGUUCGGAAUUACUGGGCGUAAAGGGCGCGUAGGCGGCCGCCUAAGUCAGACGUGAAAUCCCUCGGCUCAACCGGGGAACUGCGUCUGAUACUGGAUGGCUUGAAUCCGGGAGAGGGAUGCGGAAUUCCUGGUGUAGCGGUGAAAUGCGCAGAUAUCAGGAGGAACACCGGUGGCGAAGGCGGGUCUCUGGGCCGUAACUGACGCUGAGGAGCGAAAGCGUGGGGAGCAAACGGG
rnacentral:rRNA from 1 species